rnacentral:rRNA from 1 species
GUGACAAGAAAUACCGAUGCGGGACCCUACGGGUGCCGCGUUCGGAAUGAGUACGAUUCGAACCACCUAACGAGGAACGAUCGGAGGGCAAGUCUGGUGCCAGCAGCCGCGGUAAUUCCAGCUCCAAUAGCGUACAUUAAAGUUGCUGCAGUUAAAAAGCUCGUAGUUGAACUUCAUGAGCAGUAGGUAGCUUACUACCUGCUCUCUACCAGUCUUUCGACUGUUACUGUGAGAAAAUUAGAGUGUUUCAAGCAGGCUAUUGCAGGAAUACAUUAGCAUGGAAUAACGAAUGUACCUACAAUUUGGUUAAUUGUAGAUUACUAUUAAUAAGGGACAGUUGGGGGCGAUUAGUAUUUAAUUGUCAGAGGUGAAAUUACUUGGAUUGUUAAAGACUAACGUAUGCGAAAGCAUUUGCCAAGGAUGUUUUCAUUAAUCAAGAACGAAAGAUAGGGGAUCAAAGACGAUCAGAUACCGUCGUAGUCCUAUCUAUAAACUAUGCCGACUAGGGAUUGGAAUGAUCUGC